CCAUCCAAAACAAAACAACAGCAACAAUAUUCUUCAGAAACCUCAAACACCCACAAAAAGGAUUUGUUUAUAAACCUAUCAAUUCUUUAAAAAUUUUUAUUGAACUUUUAAAAAAUUUUGUUUUAAAUGGUUGCACUUGUGUCACAUGGAAGGUUCCCAGGCUAGGGGUCUAAUAGGAGCUGUAGCCACUGGCCUACGCCAGAGCCACAGCAACUCAGGAUCUGAGCCAUGUCUUCGACCUACCCCACAGCUCACGGCAAUGCCAGAUCCUUAACCCACUGAGCAAGGCCAGGGACCGAACCCGCAACCUCAUGGUUUCUAGUCAGAUUCGUUAACCACUGCACCACAACGGGAGCUCCUGCACAAAAGUUUUAAGUUUGAUAAAGUUCGACUUACCUUUUUUUUUCUUUUGUUAUUUGUGCAUUUGUUAUUUGUGUAUAUUUAAGAAAGUGUUGUCUAAUGUAUCAUCAUGAAGAUUUGUAUCUGCAUUUCUUUUUAAGAGGUGGUAACUCAUCCAUUUAGUUCUUUGACCCUGAUCAAGUUAGUUUUCUUUCCUUUUUUUUUUUUUUUUUUCCUUUUAAGAGCUGUACCCGUGGCAUAUGAAGGUUCCAGGUUCCAAGGCUAGGGGUUGAAUCAGAACUGCAGCUGCUGCCCACCUAUACCUCAGCCACAGCAACACAGUAUCCGAGCCACAUCUGUGACCUACACCACAGCUCAUGGCAAUUCCGGAUCCUUAACCCAUUGAGCGAGGCCAGGCUUUGAACCUGCGUCUUCAUGGAUACCAGUCGGGUUCAUUACCACUGAGCCAUGGCAGGAAUUCCAAGUUAAUUUUCAUAUAUGGGAUGAGGUAAGGGUUCAAGAUUAUUCUUUGGAUAUGUGGAUAAUAUCGCGUUGUUCUACUAUUUUUUGUUGAAAAGACUAUUUUUUUCCUUCCUCCAUCUUUUUUGAGACCUAGGUACACCUCUUUAUAUAGGAAGGAGAAUGGGAGUUGUUUGUAUAUUGACCCAUUGGUUCAAUAACAUGGAUUCAGUAAUCUUUCUCUUUUUUCUUAGACAACUUUAUUAACAUAUCACUUAAAUACUGUGAAAUUUACCCAUUUUAAAUGUACAUUUUGAUGAUUGUGAGACUCUCUGGGUCUGAGUUAAUGGCAUUUUUCACUGUCUUGCCCCAGCUGUCUCUCAUCAUUUACCCAUAAGCUUGUGCUCUUAAAAUCCUCUUGAUGGUUGAACAUUUUAUUUACUAAGUGUGGUUUUAUAAUAGAAAUCUGAUCCUGUGAUAUAUUUGCAGGAAGAAAGAUAUAAAUAAGAGACAGUACUUUAUUGACUGGAUUUUAUUUUCUUAUUGUUGACAUCGUUUAUGUUUUGGCAAAAGGAAGUCAGAUCUCAUAAAGAAAAAAUUCCCUCUGAACAUCUGCCAGAAUCAGUUUGCUGUCAUUUUUAGUUAAAAAGUUUUUCUUUUUUCAAAUCGAACAUACACCUUCUUUUUGCAGAGCAGAUGGGAAAGAUCAAUGAGCUGCUAUAGAGAAUUACAAGGUUUUUUCCCCUCUAUUUGAUCUUUGAUCUUAAGGCAGCUUUUAACCCUGUAGUAAUCUCCCAAGAGAUUUGAGGAUACAUUUUGUAAAACAAAAUUAUGGGGACUAUGAAUACAUAAUUGGUGUUCUCAAAGCAUUCUGUCAAAUGUAAAGUAAAUGCUUUUAAGAAAUCAUUAUCAGCUGUUAUGUGUUUUUUAUUAAACUGAAUCCUCAGUGCAGUUUAUGCCUAAGUGCAUUAUUGUAAUUGAGUUUUGAGCUUACUUUGUUAGGGAAAUAAUUAGACUUUUCUUGAUAUAGCAGCACAUAGCUGGGAAGAAAAAAUCACAUUAGUGAACAGCCAAAACUUUCUAAGUUUUAAGUCUGAAAGUUGUAUUAGAAUAUUUUAGUUUGGAAUGUUUUUAAGUUGACUUUUCAAAAAGUUUUAAAUUGGGUUUUAUAGCCUUUUAGCAAACAAGUUCACGCUUUACUAAAAAAAAAGAUCGUGGUGCAGAAAGACUAUUUUUUCUACUCUUAAAACAUGACUCCCCUCCACCCAAAAAAAAUCCAGACAACUGCAAGCUUAUGACUUGUUUGGAACUCACCAGAGAGCUUAGGUUCCAGGGCUGCCAGCUAGCUUGAUGUCUAAGGAGAAACAGAUUCCUGCAGAGAGAGACAUGAGCACUUAUUUACCUGGGGCAGACCCUGCUGGUCGCUGAUAAGACUUAGCUAGAAUCAAGAAGCUGAUGGAUGAUGAAUGUGGGCAGGUAAGAGAGGGUGCAGACUCUGGAGGCUGCACGUGGAGGGGAAGUUUAUAUCCACUUGCAACCUUUUUCUCUAUGAACUCUACCAGGUGGUCCCCCAGAAGACACACGAGAUUCCUGAGAAAGCAUCCUCUGGUGGUGUAGGGCUUGGGGAGAAGAGCAGUUGCUAUAGAGGGAGCAAGAAAUUUUGCCAGGAGCCUUCUUCCAUAUCUUUCCUUUCUCCUCUACUGAAUGAAAACGGGAAAGGGCAGAAAAAUCACUGUUGCCUUUAGGGCCCUGGUGAAAACCCAUUGCACAUGGGGAAAGAACAUAAAUUCAAACCUACACUUGGUGGGAUGUUCAGAGCCUCAGCUGGGUGAGGAGAAGCACUGAGAAGGCCACAUCCCUGAGACCCAGGGAUACAGUGAUUGUCUAAGACUGAUGCUUAUUCAGCACAACAGAAAAUUCCUAUUCCCAUCUCCUAUCACCAGAGUGUUAAAGCAUCAGGUAACAAAGUAAUAGUUGGAUACUGCCAGGAGAGUCGCCAGACCCUGAAGACCUCUCUUAGGUGCAGCACAAAGGGAAGACGUAAAGCUGAGAGAUAUGGCAAAUACUGAGAUGUGGUCUCCACUCUAAAUACAAGCUAC
ensembl:lncRNA